CGCCCAGCAACUCCUAUCCCUACCUCCUCGUGGUACCGACCGGAAACUACGCGCAACCUUACGGAAGACCGGGUAACCAUCCCGGUGGGACCUUUGGUCGUAGGCUUACAGGGAAGG
rnacentral:ribozyme from 1 species